CACGUAGGGGACGAGCGUUGUCCGGAUUCAUUGGGCGUAAAGCGCGCGUAGGCGGCUCGGAAAGUCGGUCGUGAAAUGCCGGGGCUCAACCCCGGGACUGCGUCCGAUACUCCCGAGCUGGAGGCAGGUAGGGGAGAUCGGAAUUCCUGGUGUAGCGGUGAAAUGCGCAGAGUAUCAGGAGGAACACCGGUGGCGAAGGCGGAUCUCUGGGCCUUGCCUGACGCUGAGGCGCGAAAGCUAGGGGAGCGAACAGG
rnacentral:rRNA from 1 species